UGGGGAAUUUUCCGCAAUGGGCGCAUAGCCUGACGGAGCAAUACCGCGUGAGGGAAGAAGGCUCUUGGGUCGUAAACCUCUUUUGUCAGGGAAGAAGCAAGUGACGGUACCUGAAGAAUAAGCACCGGCUAACUCCGUGCCAGCAGCCGCGGUAAUACGGAGGGUGCAAGCGUUAAUCGGAAUUACUGGGCGUAAAGCGUGCGCAGGCGGCUGGCUAAGUCGGAUGUGAAAGCCCCGGGCUCAACCUGGGAAUGGCAUUCGAUACUGGACAGCUAGAGUUUGGUAGAGGUAAGUGGAAUUCCGGGUGUAGCGGUGAAAUGCGUAGAUAUCCGGAGGAACAUCAGUGGCGAAGGCGGCUUACUGGACCAAAACUGACGCUCAGGCACGAAAGCGUGGGUAGCAAACAGGAUUAGAUACCCCCGUAGUCC
rnacentral:rRNA from 1 species